GUGGAUUAGUGUCUUUAUUAGGGAAAAGUGCUUCAGGACUUCCAGAUUCUCAGUUACCUGGAGCCCUAAGUGGCAGAGUCUACAUCAGUCCUUUCCCCCAGUCAGCCUCUACAAACAAAAAGCCAUAGUUGGGAAAAACAGGAAUCUGCAUUGAAGAACAUCUAGGAACAAUUCCAGACAAAUUACUGCAGCAGGAGCAACACAGGCAUCCAGGAAGAUUAGAAGAAUAAAGUUGAUGGCUACAGCUACAAACAACCAAAUCUUUUCAAGCAUCUGUUCUAGUAGGAGACAGAGGAACUUAACAUAUCUAAAAAGAGCAAUGUGUAACUGGAAUCCAAAACUUCAUCAUAGCUGAAAACAAUUUUUUUUGCAGAAGAAGUUAACAUAUAUAUGGAUCUCAAUUGCAAAUGAAAGCUUUUGCUUGACUGACAGCAGGAAAACAACAGCUAAAGUUAGGCUAGGCAAAGAAACAAAUUCCUCCUACAUCAAAAGUUCUCUACUUCCUAAGAUAUAAAACAAGGAAACCAAAACAAAAAAGAAACCUUUACAUAUCAUUAAUGAGCAAAGAUGGGCAGAAGAUGGGCUAGUGUCAAUGAGAUGGCACUUUGGCUCAGACCAUUCCUCUGCAGGAAACUUUCAAAAGUCAAGGCAUUAUUUUUAAAACAUCCAGAAUUGCCUAUCAUCUUACAUCUGUAAAUGAGAUUGCUUUGCUGAGGACAGAAUAUUUUUCCAGGAACAGCAGGACGGAUGACGUAUUCACCAAAACAUCCAGCUGAAUUCCAAGAAUAGACCUGAUAUUUAACUAUACUCAGUAAUUCAUGGUAAUUUAGAAGAAGUGGCUGCCCCUUCCACACAGCAGACUCCCGAGUCCCCUGAGGCACCGUGACAGUGGCACUCGGGGCACAAACACUCCUUCCCCUGCAGCAGAAAACACAGUAUUGGCCACUGCAGCCAAACUCACAGCAACAAAGGACUCUGCCUUGGUAAGUUCUCAGGUUGUCAUCACAGGCAAGGUGACAUGGAUCAAACAGCAGACAGGACA